rnacentral:lncRNA from 1 species
CCACUCUUCUUCCUCAUCCAGCUUUUGGGUGAAGAGCCAGGCCUUCUUCCAGACAGAAUAUGUAACUACCCAUGUACUAGGCUUUCUAGGACUCAGAAGAGUCCCUUUCCUACUUUCCAGUGUCUGGGAACCUAUUUACUCAGAAGAUGAGACUUAGAAGGAGAGCAUGCUUAGCUAGGGGGUGCCUCAGGUCUCCAGUUUGAACCCUUUGCUAGACAGAUGAGGGAGCUGAGUCCAGCA